AAUUCUCAAACCUUCUUGGUUUCUCGACCGGGAAGGCUUUGGACUUUGGAGGCUUUUGCUGACCUUCCUUUGUUGGAACCAGCUCCUCUCAAAUGAAUUAGUAGGGUCUACUUUGCCGAUCCUUGACGUGAUAAAAUGUUUUCUACGUCUCGGGUAUCGCACUGUUUUGUCCUGGAUCUUGCUUCCAACCGUCUCUCAGAAGACAGAUGGUCGAGUGAUCGUCACUCGACCCACGAA
rnacentral:misc_RNA from 1 species